rnacentral:rRNA from 1 species
GACGAACGCUGGCGGCGUGCUUAACACAUGCAAGUCGAACGGAAAGGCCCCUUUGGGGGUACUCGAGUGGCGAACGGGUGCGUAACACGUGAGUAACCUGCCCUUGAAUUCGGGACAACUUCAGGAAACUGGGGCUAAUACCGGAUAGGAAUCCUUGCUGCAUGGUGGGGGUUGGGAAGCUUCGGCGGUUUUGGAUGGACUCGCGGCGUAUCAGCUUGUUGGUGGGGUAGUGGCUUACCAAGGCGUUGACGGGUAGCCGGCCUGAGAGGGCGACCGGCCACAUUGGGACUGAGAUACGGCCCAGACGCCUACGGGAGGCAGCAGUGGGGAAUAUUGCACAAUGGGCGGAAGCCUGAUGCAGCAGCGCCGCGGGCGGGAUGACGGCCUUCGGGUUGUAAACCGCUUUCAGCAGGGGCGAAGCUGGUGGUGACGGUACCUGCAGAAGAAGCACCGGCUAACUACGUG